rnacentral:lncRNA from 1 species
ACGUCACAAAUAAACAUGUGCUCGUUUUUUAAAAAGAUCAGUUCAUUAGAAUUUUCUUAUUUUAAUUAUCAGUUUAUGUUUGGUUCAUAGGAAAGUAUGGUCGCCGUUUUCAAAUUUAGUAUGAAUACAUCAUCUCAUCCGAUGAGUUCCGAUGCCCAUCAAAUUCCUAAAAAGCAGUACUCAGCAUUUAUUCGAUUACACAAUGAAUUGGACAACCUUAGAUUUGGAUGAUAUCGGAUCUCUCAUACGAUGUAUCAUUGUCUGAAACGAAUUUGAUUCUAGAUGGGCACAUAUUUGUCUAGAUAUUUACCAAUAGAGUGUUUUCUAUGUCCUUGGAUGGGUUUCUU